GAUGAACGCUAGCGGCAGGCCUAAUACAUGCAAGUCAAGGGGGACAGCAAUGUCACCGGCGGACGGGUGCGUAACGCGUACAGAACGUGCCUUUGGGCGGGGGAUAGCGUUGGGAAACUGACGGUAAUACCCCAUGGCAUCGAGGACCGGCAUCGGUUUUCGAUUAAAGUUACGGCGCCCAAAGAUCGCUGUGCGUCCGAUUAGCUAGUUGGCGGGGUAACGGCCCACCAAGGCGACGAUCGGUAGGGGGUGUGAGAGCAUGGCCCCCCCAACGGGUACUGAGACACGGACCCGACUCCUACGGAGGCAGCAGUAAGGAAUAUU
rnacentral:rRNA from 1 species